ensembl:lncRNA
AUGCUGUGGGUGGCCGUGACCUGGGACCCAGCAGCUGGGGAUGGGGACGGACAGGUUAUGUGACAUGCUCCGGGUCACGUGAGCGGUGUGUGUCAGAGUGAGAAACAGCACCUGGAUCUCUCAAUUGUGAAGCUGUUGCUCUUGGCACUGCGUCAUCCUGACUGCAAACAAAACACUGAGAUUGACUGUGCCUGCGUCCUUCCCAUGCCUGCAAAUGCUGCACCGGCCCGAGGCACAUUGGAUGUCACACAGCUAUUCCCUGAAAUAGAGCCUGUGAUGUGCACACUGCAAGAGCAGGCACUGCCGACACACAGGCAGCGUGGCACUGCCAUCACACACAGCACAGGUCCAUGAGGGGCUUUGCCACACGCACAGGUAUGCUGUGGGCCAUCCAUCAAGUCUGUACCACCCCAGUUUGCUUUGAACAGGAGACAGUGUUACAGGCUGUGCUAAAACCGAGAUUGUCUGAGGGUCCCUCAUUGGCUUCGUGACGGAAAGUGGUUGAUUCACCUCCACCCAGCGGUAAUUACGUGUUGCUGCCUACUGGAAGUUCUCAUGCUUGGCAUUGGACUGGUAAGCCUAGAACUCAUUGCUGAGAUUCACUGCAGAGUAAAACCAUCAUUCUUGAUACCUUUGUUUUAUAUUCAGC